AGAGUUUGAUCCUGGCUCAGAACGAACGCUGGCGGCAGGCUUAACACAUGCAAGUCGAGCGCAUCCUUCGGGGUGAGCGGCAGACGGGUGAGUAACGCGUGGGAACGUACCCCUUUGUUCGGAAUAACCCUGGGAAACUAGGGCUAAUACCGGAUACGGCCGAGAGGCGAAAGGUUUACCGCAGAGGGAUCGGCCCGCGUCCGAUUAGCUAGUUGGUGAGGUAAUGGCUCACCAAGGCGACGAUCGGUAGCUGGUCUGAGAGGAUGAUCAGCCACAUUGGGACUGAGACACGGCCCAAACUCCUACGGGAGGCAGCAGUGGGGAAUAUUGGACAAUGGGCGCAAGCCUGAUCCAGCCAUGCCGCGUGAGUGAUGAAGGCCUUAGGGUUGUAAAGCUCUUUUACCUGGGAAGAUAAUGACGGUACCAGGAGAAUAAGCCCCGGCUAACUUCGUGCCAGCAGCCGCGGUAAUACGAAGGGGGCUAGCGUUGUUCGGAUUUACUGGGCGUAAAGGGCGCGUAGGCGGGUUUUUAAGUCAGGGGUGAAAUCCCAAGGCUCAACCUUGGAACUGCCUUUGAUACUGGAAGUCUUGAGUCCGGGAGAGGUGAGUGGAACUGCGAGUGUAGAGGUGAAAUUCGUAGAUAUUCGCAAGAACACCAGUGGCGAAGGCGGCUCACUGGCCCGGUACUGACGCUGAGGCGCGAAAGCGUGGGGAGCAAACAGGAUUAGAUACCCUGGUAGUCCACGCCUUAAACGAUGGAUGCUAGCCGUUAGGCAGCUUGCUGCUUAGUGGCGCAGUUAACACUUUAAGCAUCCCGCCUGGGGAGUACGGUCGCAAGAUUAAAACUCAAAGGAAUUGACGGGGGC
rnacentral:rRNA from 1 species